UACGUAGGGUGCAAGCGUUGUCCGGAAUCAUUGGGCGUAAAGAGCGUGUAGGCGGCCACUUAAGUCCUGCGUGAAAUCUUGCGGCUCAACCGCAAGCGGUCGUGGGAAACUGGGUGGCUAGAGUGCGGGAGAGGAGAGUGGAAUUCCUGGUGUAGCGGUGGAAUGCGCAGAUAUCAGGAAGAACACCCGCGGCGAAGGCGGCUCUCUGGAACGCAACUGACGCUGAGACGCGAAAGCGUGUGGAGCAAUCAGG
rnacentral:rRNA from 1 species